CCACACCCGAACCCCAUGUCAAUCAGGCAGCAGUGAGGAGCCGGGUGGGGGUAGCCUGCUGUGGUUUUUGUCUUCGUUUUUCUGUCUGGUGAUUUUAAACCUCUUCAUGCUUACGGCCCGCUCAAUUUUCCUUUUGGGCGAAGUCUGAGUUUUUCCAAAAAACAGCUUUAUUGAGAUAUAAUUCAUAUACCACAGGAUUCGUCCCUUUUAUAAUUCAAUGGUUUUGACCAAUUCAUCACGUUUUAGAACUCAGAAACAUUGUACCCUCUAGCUCACUCCAUCCUUCCAGCCCGAAACAACUGCCAACCUACUUCCUGUCUCUAGAACUUCCCCUAUUCUGGACUCGUGCACUAACGGAGAGACUGAGAGUGCCCUGGACAAGUUCCGGGAAAACUCCACGCCCCCGCCCUGGGAAAAACACAAUGUCAGAAAACACAAUCUGCACUACCCGUAGAGAGCAGGAGGGGCGACGUGGCACCCAGGCUCCCCACGACCAGGCAGCGACAAUCACAGUGUGCAGUCGCUGUCACCGGCUUCGUUGGCAGUACCGGUCACCGGUUCCCUACGUCCUGCUGUGCGUUAGUGCUCCGCCCUUCCACAGGACAGGGUCACGCCUGCACCCACCGCUGGGCAUGUGGGUUGUACCGUCCUGUGUGGACACGCAUUUGUAUUCGUCUUGGACAGAGCUAGGGGAGUUGAGAACACUGGAGGGGCUGCCGCACUGUUUUCUGUUCUCAGUAGUGUGAGUUCUCAGCUCUCCGCAUCUAUGCCAGCACUUAGCGUCUGAGGUCUAGUCUUUGGCCACCUCAAGUGGUUCGUCGUGGUUUUGACCUGAUCUGGACCCUUUCUGGAUCUUGCUUACUUAAGGGGACAAGAACACGCACAUACCUGAGGAUUGAAGCGGUUUCCAACAUUUCAGCCAUGAACGUCGAGACUCCUUUCAACUGACUGUCACCGGCCCCAACCCGAGCCAGGAUGCAAUCCACGAUGGACACCUCUGCUGAUUCACACG